CAAAAGUAAUUGUGGUUUUUACCAUUGAAAGUAAUGGCAAAAACUGCAAUUACUUU
rnacentral:miRNA from 1 species